rnacentral:misc_RNA from 1 species
GAUGAAGAACGUAGCGAAAUGCGAUAAUUAAUGUGAAUUGCAGAAUUCCGUGAAUCAUCGAGUCUUUGAACGCACAUUGCGCCUCAUGGCAUUCCGUGAGGCAUGCCCAUCUCAGCGUUAGAAAAUAUUCUCAAAUUUUAGUUUUGUGCUAAAAUUUGGAUCAUGUCAAGGAAGCUAUUACUAUUAUUGUGAUCGCUCUUUGGAAAUUGAUAGGUCUUUGAGUUGCUACUCAUAGAACGUAAUGAAUCUUUCUUCGUUCUAUUGUAAUUCACUCUGGUAGUCCUAAAACUUGUAUGCCUGUGGCAUAUCUUGUAAUUUGACCUGAGAUUGGGUAGGGAUACCCGCUGAACUUAAGCAUAUCAAUAAGCGGAGGA